CGACGGGCCCGCACAAGCAGCGGAGCGUGUGGUUUAAUCGAUGUUACACGAAGAACCUUACCAGGGUUUGACAUGCAAGUGGUAGGAAGCCGAAAGGUGACCGACCCUUCGGGGAGCUUGCACAGGUGCUGCAUGGCUGUCGUCAGCUCGUGUCGUGAGAUGUUCGGUUAAGUCCGCUAACGAGCGCAACCCUCGCUGUGUGUUAUAUGUGUCACACGGGACUGCCGGUCUUAAGCCGGAGGAAGGUGGGAUGAUGUCAAGUCAGCAUGGCCUUUAUAUCCUGGGCUACACACACGCUACAAUGGCCAACACAAUAGGUUGCUAAGCCGCGAGGUGGCGCCAAUCCAUAAAGUUGGUCUCAGUUCAGAUUGUAGGCUGCAACCCGCCUGCAUGAAGAUGGAGUUGCUAGUAACCGCAGGUCAGCUAUACUGCGGUGAAUACGUUCCCGGGGCUU
rnacentral:rRNA from 1 species